rnacentral:rRNA from 1 species
AUUGAACGCUGGCGGAAGGCCUAACACAUGCAAGUCGAGCGAGCGGCGGACGGGUGAGUAAUGUCUGGGAAACUGCCUGAUGGAGGGGGAUAACUACUGGAAACUGUAACUAAUACCGCAUACCCUCAGAUGUGCCCAGAUGGGAUUAGCUCGUAGGUGGGGUAACGGCUCACCUAGGCGACGAUCCCUAUCUGGUCUGAGCGGAUGACCAGCCACACUGGAACUGAGACACGGUCCAGACUCCUACGGGAGGCAGCAGUGGGGAAUAUUGCACAAUGGGCGCAAGCCGGAUGCAGCCAUGCCGCGUGUAUGAAGAAGGCCUGCGGGUUGUAAAGUACUUUCAGCGAGGAGGCGUUACUCGCAGAAGAAGCACAGGCUAACUCCGUGCCAGCAGCCGCGGUAAUAC